rnacentral:misc_RNA from 1 species
GAUGAAGAACGUAGCGAAAUGCGAUAGGUAAUGUGAAUUGCAGAAUUCAGUGAAUCAUCGAAUCUUUGAACGCACAUUGCGCCCGCCAGUAUUCUGGCGGGCAUGCCUGUUCGAGCGUCAUUUCAACCAUCAAGCCCCCGGCUUGUGUUGGGGACCUGCGGCUGCCGCAGGCCCUGAAAUGCAGUGGCGGGCUCGCUGUCACUCCGAGCGUAGUAGUUACAUCUCGCUCUGGGCGUGCUGCGGGUUCCGGCCGUUAAAAGCCUUAUUUACCCAAGGUUGACCUCGGAUCAGGUAGGAAGACCCGCUGAACUUAAGCAUAUCAAUAAGCGGAGGA